UACGUAUGGGGCGAGCGUUGUUCGGAGUUAUUGGGCGUAAAGGGCGUGUAGGCGGCCCGACAAGUCUGGUGUGAAAUCGCAGGGCCUAACCCUGCGGGUGCGCUGGAAACGGUUGGGCUGGAGUCCCGGGGGGGAAGCUGGAAUUCCUGGUGUAGGAGUGAAAUCUGUAGAGAUCAGGAAGAACACCGGUGGCGAAGGCGAGCUUCUAUUCGAGGACUGACGCUGAGGCGCGAAAGCGUGGGGAGCAAACAGG
rnacentral:rRNA from 1 species